GAUUAGCCGGUAUGUACGCGGGCUCAUAGUCUGUGUUUUGGCGCCUAAUGUUGUUAUUCAACGGUAACCGUUUCUUGCAGAGAAAAAUACCGUAUAAUCUCUGUUCAAAAAAAGUUUUUAUGAGUUUUGGAAGCUGAAUUUGCUCAGCAAGAGUUUGAUAUCGUGCAAUGGGUUCAAUUUUUACUUUCCUGGAUUGCAAAAUCGGUGCCUGAUCAUGAGGACAUGGAUUGAAUCACUAUCAGGCAUGUUCAAGAAAGAUCUGUUACAAGAAGUAAUGUACAGAGCCGAGAAAAUAUUUUGAUAGGCUAAAAGCCCACAAGGAAUCAUAGUGGGGAAUCAAAAUUCACAACAUACUUGGAAAAGUCUUGCAGAAGCUAUUACAAAUUGAACUUCUCUCUUUAUAACAAUUUAUUUCUCAUUUAGUGAGAAAAUUAUGAAUUUUUUCGAGAAGGUCUUGCAAUUAUUCAUUUAUACUUAACAAAACUGUAUGGAAAAAGUAUUUUUAAGCAAAGUCAUUUUAUCUGUUUCUUUGAUCAAUUUUCUUUAAAAGAAUUCUAGUUAGCACAUUAAAAUGCAUAAACAGAUUGGCUGUAUACAUAAUCAAGUUAUUUUAUUGAGUGUAUUAUAAUAUGACAAAAUAGAAAUAAUUCUAAAAAUUGUUACCAUACUGUAGAUGUGCAUUAAGCAUUGAACAGAAAGUACAGUAAGUUGUCAGGACAAAACUAUAGCACCAGGCCAACCAAAUUUCAUGAUAGUAACUUUAGUGUAGAAACAAACAUUUUGGCUAAUAUUUACAUGCUGAUUGUAUACACAUUAUUUUCUGUUGCAUUAAAAAAGUGAGUGCAAAUAUU